GAAUCUUGCGCAAUGGGCGAAAGCCUGACGCAGCGACGCCGCGUGAGCGAUGAAGGCCUUCGGGCUGUAAAGCUCUGUGGAGAGAGAAGAAUGAGUGCAAGCUAAUACCUUGCGCGAUGACGGUAUCUCUUUAGCAAGCACAGGCUAACUCUGUGCCAGCAGCCGCGGUAAGACAGAGGGUGCAAACGUUGUUCGGAAUCACUGGGCGUAAAGCGCGUGUAGGUGGCUUCGCAAGUCGGGCGUGAAAUCCCGGGGCUCAACCCCGGAAGUGCACUCGAUACUGCGUAGCUUGAGUCCUGGAGAGGAAGGUGGAAUACUUGGUGUAGAGGUGAAAUUCGUAGAUAUCAAGUAGAACACCGGUGGCGAAGGCGGCCUUCUGGACAGUGACUGACGCUGAGACGCGAAAGCGUGGGGAGCAAAC
rnacentral:rRNA from 1 species